GCUACCAUGCAGUCGAGCGGUAACAGGGGAAGCUUGCUUCCCGCUGACGAGCGGCGGACGGGUGAGUAAUGCAUAGGAAUCUGCCCGAUAGUGGGGGAUAACCUGGGGAAACUCAGGCUAAUACCGCAUACGUCCUACGGGAGAAAGGGGGCUUCGGCUCCCGCUAUUGGAUGAGCCUAUGUCGGAUUAGCUGGUUGGUGAGGUAAUGGCUCACCAAGGCAACGAUCCGUAGCUGGUUUGAGAGGAUGAUCAGCCACAUCGGGACUGAGACACGGCCCGAACUCCUACGGGAGGCAGCAGUGGGGAAUAUUGGACAAUGGGCGCAAGCCUGAUCCAGCCAUGCCGCGUGUGUGAAGAAGGCCUUCGGGUUGUAAAGCACUUUCAGCGAGGAAGAACGCCUGUCGGUUAAUACCCGGCAGGAAAGACAUCACUCGCAGAAGAAGCACCGGCUAACUCCGUGCCAGCAGCCGCGGUAAUACGGAGGGUGCAAGCGUUAAUCGGAAUUACUGGGCGUAAAGCGCGCGUAGGUGGCUUGAUAAGCCGGUUGUGAAAGCCCCGGGCUCAACCUGGGAACGGCAUCCGGAACUGUCAGGCUAGAGUGCAGGAGAGGAAGGUAGAAUUCCCGGUGUAGCGGUGAAAUGCGUAGAGAUCGGGAGGAAUACCAGUGGCGAAGGCGGCCUUCUGGACUGACACUGACACUGAGGUGCGAAAG
rnacentral:rRNA from 1 species